rnacentral:rRNA from 1 species
CCUCCCUACGGGAGGCAGCAGUGGGGAAUAUUGCACAAUGGGGGAAACCCUGAUGCAGCAACGCCGCGUGAAGGAAUACGGUUUCCGGAUUGUAAACUUCUGUUCUUAGUGAAGAAGAAUGACGGUAGCUAAGGAGCAAGCCAAGGCUAACUACGUGCCAGCAGCCGCGGUAAUACGUAGGUGGCAAGCGUUGUCCGGAAUUACUGGGUGUAAAGGGAGCGCGGGCGGGAAGCCAAGUCAGCUGUGAAAACUACGGGCUUAACUUGUAGACUGCAGUUGAAACUGGUUGUCUUGAGUGAAG